GUCCGACAUUCGAGGUUCGAACUUGCGCUCGACUUCAAAACGCCUCUCGGCAGCUACACUUUUACCCUCUCCAGCGGCGUCCUGGCGCGAACGAAUACGCGACGCCGCGAAAAUUCUACGGGUCUUGCUCCAAAAAAGCCAGAUUCCACUCUUUCAUCCGUGAGCGAGGCUCUCUCCAAUUUCGAUCGAGCGAGAUAAACUUCCGCCGGAAAAGCAUGGCUUCGAACUCGAACAAUGCGAGCUCGGCUUCUCCGUCGACCUCCACGUCGACGCCGUCGACGCCGCCGGUGGCGGCAUCGUCGGGCGGGAAGCGCGGUAGAGACCCCGACGACGAGGUUUACCUCGACAACAUGUACUCCCACAAGCGCUACCUCAGCGAGAUGAUGGCUUCCAGCUUAAAUGGAUUAACCGUCGGGGACACCCUUGGCGAAAACUAUAUGGAUUCUCCUGCUAGAUCUGAAAGCAUGUUUUAUUUUAGGGAUGACAUGUCCUCACAAUAUUCACCAAUGUCAGAAGAUUCCGAUGACUCCCGAUUUUGUGAAAUUCCGGUAAAUGCUUGUUCAUCCCAGUCUGACAGCCUCCCAACUAGUCCAGUUUCUCCUUACAGAUGUCAAAGACCAUUUGGUGGUCCAUCAUCUGCUACUCCUGCCACAUCAUCCCCUUCGUAUAGUCAUAACCUUGUGGCACCCACAUCAUCACAGACCCGCCAACGAGGCUCAGAUUCCGAGGGCCGGUUCCCCUCGUCUCCCAGCGACAUAUGCCACUCAGCUGACUUAAGAAGAGCUGCACUCCUUCGCUCCGUGCAGAUGAGAACACAACCUGCUCCCAACUGUCCAUAUGAAUCACCGUUUGCUCCAGGGCAAGAGGCUGUGCCUAAUAUGGAAUCCGAGGAUGUGAAAUCUCUAUCUGAUGAAAAAGACUAUCACAUAGAGGAGUGUCCUUCAAGUGUUGCCUCUUCUUCUGAUUUCAACGAAGAAAAAACCUGCAGAACACUGAAUUCAAGCGCUGGAAGGAUUGAAUCUGGGAUAUAGAAGCUGGGGGCAUGAAUUAAAGAGGCAGAGUUAACGUUGUUUUGGAGAUCUAUAUGGGCAAAUUAUUUGAAUAUGGUGAGAGCAUGUGGUGCAAUGGCAUCCCCAUGAGAUACAUGAUGAGUCAUGCAGCACACACAACUUCAAGAAGUUUUUAGCUAUCUAUGGGUUUAUGCCGAUUUUUGAGGGGUCGACUCACUGAUGGUUUUUUCCUGACGGUUGCACUAGGCCGGGAGUUGGAUAUUCAUGGUUACGGGUGUCUGACAGGAAGUCUUGGGAAAUUUUACUUUGCAAGUUACUGAAGCGAUAACAAGGACAUCACAAGAGCCUAAUUGAAGAAAUUUCAAUCCGACGAUGGACGAGAAGUAAAGCCUUUAAACAAGUGCAUAAUUAAAGAGAAGUGCAAUUUCGUAUGAGCGGAUGCCUUCACAAUACUUUGUUAAAGAGUGUUCUCGAAGCGUGUAGUAAGUAAUUAAAUAGGUGAACUCUAUAAUUGUCGGUACAGUGACAUUUCUCAAGAUAUUGAAAAUCAAUGCUGUGGAAA